rnacentral:tRNA from 1 species
GGGGCCGUAGCUCAGCUGGGAGAGCGCCGCGUUCGCAAUGCGGAGGUCAGGGGUUCGAGUCCCCUCGGCUCCA